UGAUCGGGGUUGCGGACAGUGUCUGGUGGGUAGUUUGACUGGGGCGGUCUCCUCCUAAAGAGUAACGGAGGAGCACGAAGGUUGGCUAAUCCUGGUCGGACAUCAGGAGGUUAGUGCAAUGGCAUAAGCCAGCUUGACUGCGAGCGUGACGGCGCGAGCAGGUGCGAAAGCAGGUCAUAGUGAUCCGGUGGUUCUGAAUGGAAGGGCCAUCGCUCAACGGAUAAAAGGUACUCCGGGGAUAACAGGCUGAUACCGCCCAAGAGUUCAUAUCGACGGCGGUGUUUGGCACCUCGAUGUCGGCUCAUCACAUCCUGGGGCUGAAGUAGGUCCCAAGGGUAUGGCUGUUCGCCAUUUAAAGUGGUACGCGAGCUGGGUUUAGAACGUCGUGAGACAGUUCGGUCCCUAUCUGCCGUGGGCGCUGGAGAACUGAGGGGGGCUGCUCCUAGUACGAGAGGACCGGAGUGGACGCAUCACUGGUGUUCGGGUUGUCAUGCCAAUGGCACUGCCCGGUAGCUAAAUGCGGAAGAGAUAAGUGCUGAAAGCAUCUAAGCACGAAACUUGCCCCGAGAUGAGUUCUCCCUGAGACUUAGAGUCUCCUGAAGGAACGUUGAAGACGACGACGUUGAUAGGCCGGGUGUGUAAGCGCAGCGAUGCGUUGAGCUAACCGGUACUAAU
rnacentral:rRNA from 1 species